GAUGAACGCUGGCGGCGUGCCUAAUACAUGCAAGUCGAGCGAACAGACGAGGAGCUUGCUCCUCUGACGUUAGCGGCGGACGGGUGAGUAACACGUGGAUAACCUACCUAUAAGACUGGGAUAACUUCGGGAAACCGGAGCUAAUACCGGAUAAUAUAUUGAACCGCAUGGUUCAAUAGUGAAAGACGGUUUUGCUGUCACUUAUAGAUGGAUCCGCGCCGCAUUAGCUAGUUGGUAAGGUAACGGCUUACCAAGGCAACGAUGCGUAGCCGACCUGAGAGGGUGAUAGGCCACACUGGAACUGAACCACGGUCCAGACUCCUACGGGAGGCAGCAGUAGGGAAUCUUCCGCAAUGGGCGAAAGCCUGACGGAGCAACGCCGCGUGAGUGAUGAAGGUCUUCGGAUCGUAAAACUCUGUUAUUAGGGAAGAACAAAUGUGUAAGUAACUAUGCACGUCUUGACGGUACCUAAUCAGAAAGCCACGGCUAACUACGUG
rnacentral:rRNA from 1 species